rnacentral:rRNA from 1 species
UGCAGAAUCCCGUGAACCAUCGAGUUUUUGAACGCAAGUUGCGCCUGAGGCCAGCUGGCCAAGGGCACGUCCGCCUGGGCGUCAAGCAUUAAAUCGCUCCAUAAGACGCCCGAUGCUACGAGCGUUCUUAUCUAGGAUGCGGAGUAUGGCCCGUCAUGCGAUCAUGUGUGGCAGGCUGAAGAGCGGGAUGAUUUUCUCUUGGCAAUAUGAUCGAUUAACGGGUGGGAUGAAAGCCGUAGUUGUUCCUCUUCAUCAUCAGGUUGUUAUGAGAAAGCCGUGCAUUUUCCAGCUAACCCAAUUCAAUUGUCUUUGGACAAAUUGACAUGCGACCCCAGGAUGGGCGGGGUGACCCGCUGAGUUUAAGCAUAUCAAUAAGCGGAGGAGAAGAAACUUACAAGGAUUCCCCUAGUAACGGCGAGCGAACCGGGAUUUGCCCAGCAUGGGAAUCGAGUUGCUGUGCGGCUCGA